GCCCGGCUAGCUCAAUCGGUAGAGCGUGAGACUCUUAAUCUCAAGGUUGUGGGUUCGACCCGUAAGCGCACCUCUCUCGAGUGUUCAUCGCAUCUGAACAUUGCCACUAACACCAUACCAGCCACGUCGGGCUCA